GUGACUGCUGUAACUUGGAUGUGUCUCCCAAAGUUUAUGUGUUGGAAAAGUUUCCAGUGCAACAGUUUUGGAAAGGAGAGUGGUUCAUUUCCAUGCUAAAAUUGAAAUAACAAUAAUGCAAGGAAUCUAAGAUUCCAAGAGCCAAAGAAACUUGCCCAAAUGUCACAGUUAACGAGAGGAAGAACUGGAACUGAAACACAUGUCCUCAGUCUCCAAAUCCUGGGAAGCUUCCGCUGAGCCACACUACCACCCCAACAUAACAACUUCUAAGGGUUUCCUUCAAGCAGGGACUGAACUGAGUAGCCUGUCAGAGAAGCAAUGAUGUCCUUCACAGGAAGGAGUGGAGGACAUGCUCCCCGACACUGGUCUCUGGGGACCGUGUGUGCGCUGCACGUUGCUGCUGUUUUAUUGACCUUGCUGCCAGGCACGCUAUCAGUGGUGGUUGUG